UACGGGGGGAGCAAGCGUUGUUCGGAUUUACUGGGCGUAAAGGGCGCGUAGGCGGCCACCGCAAGUCGGUUGUGAAAUCUCCGGGCUUAACCCGGAAAGGUCAACUGAUACUGCGGGGCUAGAGUGCAGAAGGGGCAACUGGAAUUCUCGGUGUAGCGGUGAAAUGCGUAGAUAUCGAGAGGAACACCUGCGGCGAAGGCGGGUUGCUGGGCUGACACUGACGCUGAACUGCGAAAGCUAGGGGAGCGAACGGG
rnacentral:rRNA from 1 species